rnacentral:rRNA from 1 species
GACGAACGCUGGCGGCGUGCCUAAUACAUGCAAGUCGAACGCAGUGGGGACGGGUGAGUAACACGUGGGUAAUCUCCCAUCAGAGGGGAUAACACUUGGAAACAGGUGCUAAACCGAUACCGAUGGAUGAACCCGCGGUUCAUUAGCUAGUUGGUGAGGUAACGGCUCACCAAGGCCACGAUGCAUAGCCGACCUGAGAGGAUGAUCGGCCACACUGGGACUGAGACACGGCCCAGACUCCUACGGGAGGAAGCAGGGGGGAAUAUUGCACAAUGGGCGCAAGCCUGAUGCAGCCAUGCCGAGGGUAUGAAGAAGGCCUUCGGGUUGGAAAGUACUUUCAGCGGGGAGGCGUUACCCGCAGAAGAAGCACCGGCUAACUCCGUGCCAGCAGCCGCGGUAAUAC